CUUUGUGAACUUAUACCUACUGUUGCCUCGGCGCAGGCCGGCUUUUUUUUGAGAAAAAGCCCCCUGGAGACAGGGAGCAGCCCGCCGGCGGCCAACCAAACUCUUGUUUCUAUAGUGAAUCUCUGAGUAAAAACAUAAAUGAAUCAAAACUUUCAACAACGGAUCUCUUGGUUCUGGCAUCGAUGAAGAACGCAGCGAAAUGCGAUAAGUAAUGUGAAUUGCAGAAUUCAGUGAAUCAUCGAAUCUUUGAACGCACAUUGCGCCCUCUGGUAUUCCGGAGGGCAUGCCUGUUCGAGCGUCAUUUCAACCCUCAAGCCUGGCUUGGUGAUGGGGCACUGCUCUCCCACGAGAGCAGGCCCUGAAAUCUAGUGGCGAGCUCGCCAGGACCCCGAGCGUAGUAGUUACAUCUCGCUCUGGAAGGCCCUGGCGGUGCCCUGCCGUUAAACCCCCAA
rnacentral:rRNA from 1 species